rnacentral:tRNA from 1 species
GCGACUAUAGCUCAGUGGUAGAGCGGGUGACUGCAGAUCACCAGGUCCUGCGUUCAAAUCGCAGUGGUCGCU